rnacentral:misc_RNA from 1 species
AGCGGCCUGCGAACACUCAAAGGAGAGGUGUGGAGGGAUCGGUCGCCGAGUACGCUCGAAGGCCUCAUUGACGGAGGCGCUGCAGACGACGUGUCAGCGACAUCAUACAAGUACAUACAUCGAAAUAGCACGGCAAGAGAGUCACACGCACAUACAUCUGACGCCCUUGCCACCUCCCUACACUCCCACCCUGCCCACGCCCCCCCCUCCUGAAAGGGCGUCGAUGAAACUGUCAGGAUGCAGUCAGACCUUGGCACCGUGCACGUCACGAACUUCCACGGCAGCGGCGCGCUGUCUGGUGACGGUUACAAUGCCAGCGGCAGCGUGGAUGGCGACAGCGAGGCGGGCACGGACAUCCGCCUCCUCGCCAAGGAGUUCGUGACUCAGUUUCGCAUCCAUCACGAGUUCCUAUACAUGGACAUGCUGCGGAGCAACUUGUCGGCUGGGCUGCACUACGUGGAGUUCCAGAUGCUGCACCUCCAACAGUUCAGCGGCGUCCUCUUUGGAGCGGUGCAGCAUAACCCCACCCGCGCACUGCCGCUGAUGGAACACGCGGUGUGGGAGCUAGCGCAGGAGCGCAAGCUGUUCCCUGCCUACAGUCGCGAGACGACGAUUCAGGUGCAGCUCUUCUGGGGCGUGCCGCCGAUGGCGCUGCGCAACCUCGCCCAGGCCGCCGUGGCGCAGCUGGUCAGUGUGAGCGGCAUUGUCGUCAAGUCCAGCUCCACACAUGCUCGCUGUGUCCGGGCAGCUAUCCAAUGCACGAGCUGUCGAAGCAAAGCCUACAUCAACGGCGGGCGGUCGAUCGAUCUGCCGCCGCAGUGCAUGGAAAACAGCGGCCGCGGUGGGGCCGGUGGUGGCGGAGGUACGUCCUCCAGCAAGUGCCGGCCGAACCCCUACGUGCUUCUGCCAAUGGAGUGCGAGUACGAGGACCAGCAGAUCAUCAAGCUGCAGGAGCUGCCCGAGGACGUGCCGACCGGUGAACUGCCGCGACACCUAACGGUGGUUGUGGAUCGCUACUUAGUUGAUCGCAUCAGCCCUGGCUCCCGCGUCCAGAUCGUUGGUGUCGUCUCGGUGCAGGAGAAGCGCGGUGGCUUCGACAGCGCGCGCGGCGGAGGCCGUGGUCGCGCGGCGGCCGGCUUGCGUGCGCAGUACCUGCGCUGUGUCGGCCUCAUGUUCCGCACUACGCAGGAUGCCAGCUGCGCGGUGGUGAGCGUGAACCAGAACUUCUCCUCUCGUGUGCGAUCUCGCUCAACCAUGACGUGGCAGCCCGAGGAAGAGGCGUCCUUCAAGGCCUUUGCUAAGCAGGAGGACGUGUUCCAGAAGCUCUCUGCCAGCAUCGACCCCGCCAUCUUUGGCCUGGAGGAUCAGAAGAAGGCGAUUGUGUGCCUCCUGUUCGGCGGCACGCGCAAGCGCAUCGGCAGCAACUUCCUGCGCGGUGACAUGAACGUCCUCUUCAUUGGUGACCCGUCGACGGCCAAGUCGCAGCUGCUGAAGUUCGUGGAGAAGGUGGCCCCGAUCGGCAUCUACACCUCUGGCAAAGGCAGCAGUGCCGCCGGUCUCACCGCGUCGGUCAUCUCGAACGGCAACGGCGACUUUGUGCUCGAGGCGGGGUCGAUGGUGCUGGCAGACGGCGGCGUCGUGUGCAUUGACGAGUUUGACAAGAUGCGAGAGCAGGAUCAGGUGGCCAUUCACGAGGCGAUGGAGCAGCAGACCAUCUCCAUUGCCAAGGCGAAUAUGACGACCAUGCUAAAUAGUCGCACGUCGGUGCUGGCGGCUGCGAACCCGACGCUCGGUAGCUACGACCCUCUGCGCUCCAACGAGGACCAGAUGGACUUCCAGAGCUCCAUCCUGUCCCGCUUCGACCUCAUCUUUAAGGUGAUUGAUCCCCGAAACCCGGAGACGGAUCAGCGGCUGGCUCACCACGUCAUCUCGCUCCACAAGAGCGCCAACGGCAGCGGCGGGCGACGCGGCGGUGGUCGUGCGGGUGCGUCCGUCUCCGCUGGUAGUGGCGCGGCGGCUUCUGCAGCGCAGAAUAGCCAUGACGAAGUGGUGGAGCGCUGCUUCUUUACGAAAUACAUCUCCUACGCCCGUGCCACCUGCCGCCCGGUCAUCUCAGAGGAGGCAAUGAAGGUGUUACUCGACUUCUACGUUCAGGUGCGCCGAGACGCACAUCAGCAAACCCUCGCGACAAUUGGCGGCAUGAGCAGCGGCAACGGCAGCGCGGCGGGCGGUGGUAGCUCGAGCAGCAACAAGACGCCUAUCAUCCAGAUCACGGCCCGGCAACUGGAGAGCCUCGUGCGCAUUACAGAGUCGCUGGCCCGGAUGCGGCUUGACGUGCUCGCCAGCCGCAGCGAUGCUGAAGAGGCCAUCAAGCUCUUUAAAAUCGCCACCGUCGACGCCAUCAAGAGCGGAGUGGCGGACCAAAUCCUGACGGAGGCCCAGAGUGAGCUUGUCCUGCGCGUGGAGGAGGCGCUGCGCCGCCGCGUCGCACUCGGGGCCACGGUCGAGCAUCAUCGCCUCUUGUCGGAGCUCGCACGCAUGGGUUUUGACGCCAAACUCGUCGAGCGUGCCUUGUACGCGAUGGUGAAGCGGGAGGAGCUGGAGUGGCGCAAGCAGCGCACCCUGCUGCACCGUGUGAGAUGACGCUGAUUCGAAAGGUCUUGCAGCAGCAUGCAUGGACGGUGGCACCCGCGUGUGUCUCUGUGCACCGCUUUUUUUUAUUUGGUGUUUUGCUCCUUCACCUCGCCUCCUCCCCCUUUCAUAGACUCCCGAGGCGCCGGUCCUCGCCCAACACCCAACGCAGAAAAAGCUUAAAUCGUCUUCUCCCCUCGGACGGUCAUCGUCGCCAUGGCCUGCGUUCUCCACCGCCGACCUUGCCUCUCGUUCAUUCCCUCCCCCUCGUCUCCGCAAUGCUUAUCAGCACCGCCGCCAAUGACCUGCCUUCCUUUUCGUCGUUGCACGCUCCUUCUUCCACCCCACCCCAAG